UGGGGAAUCUUGCGCAAUGGGCGAAAGCCUGACGCAGCGACGCCGCGUGAGUGAUGAAGGCCUUCGGGUUGUAAACCGCUUUUGUCAGGGAAGAAAUCCUUUGAGCUAAUACCUCGGGGGGAUGACGGUACCUGAAGAAUAAGCACCGGCUAACUACGUGCCAGCAGCCGCGGUAAUACGUAGGGUGCAAGCGUUAAUCGGAAUUACUGGGCGUAAAGCGUGCGCAGGCGGUUAUAUAAGACAGAUGUGAAAUCCCCGGGCUCAACCUGGGAACUGCAUUUGUGACUGUGUAGCUAGAGUACGGCAGAGGGGGAUGGAAUUCCGCGUGUAGCAGUGAGAUGCGUAGAUAUGCGGAGGAACACCGAUGGCGAAGGCAAUCCCCUGGACCUGUACUGACGCUCAUGCACGAGAGCGUGGGGAGCAAAC
rnacentral:rRNA from 1 species